rnacentral:misc_RNA from 1 species
CACGGGAUCUGGCUUCUCCGUGAAGACAAAGAUGACGAAAUGGAGUCCGGAAGUGACGCCAUCGACAUUGAUGAUAUCGAGUUGCACAUUUGUCGAAUUCACGAGGAGCAGGUCUGUGAGCUGUAUUGUAAUCUGUGUGAUAUGUUCGUGUGUCACAUCUGUGUUCGCUCUAUCCAUAAGACGCACAACAUUACGGACAUUGGCGAGUCUGCUGAACAAAAAUUCAACCGACUGAGUAAAAGGUUCGAACACCUUGAGCGGUACGAACUCGAAAAGGCGCGAAAAAUGAUAGAAAACUUAGAACAAAAUAAAGUAGAGUAUGUAUCUAGUGUAGCUUUGAAAAAAGAAUUGAUCAAAGAACGAAAUGAGAAAAUGAAAUUUGAAUUGGAUAAUCUUACAGACAAGAUGCUUAAAGAACUGGAGACGAAAGAGGAUGUUGACUUGCAAUUUAUUAAUAGAAAACAAUUCAAACUGCAGAAUUUGUCAACAAAGGUUUCCGAAGCCAUUCACUUCUGUAGAAAUAACUUGUCCAAUAAGGGAGGAAUAAGUUUAUUAGAUGCUUGUGCGGAGGCAGAACGUAAAAUUGAAAAGCUAAGAUUACCCUCUGCUGAAAAUGGACCAGAGAGGAUUAACCCGCCAGAAUUUGUACCCGGAAAACAAGAUGAGGAAAUCGAAAGCGUCUUUGGAAUUUUAGAAUAUGAGCCAACUCCAGUAUUAACAAGACGCCGAACGACGGUAGCUUUUCCUCUCAACAUUAAAGCUCAAGUGAUCGCAAGCUUCGCCCAGAAGGCGCGAAACGGUAUAUACAGUAUAUGCACAACUGGAAACGGAAAUGCUAUGAUAGGAACGGAAGAGAGGAUUGUGCAAGUCGUGACGAUCACGGGAAAAGUCCUUGCUAGCAUCAAAGUAGAUAUUACGCCAUACAAUAUCGCUUGUUCUAAACUCGGCAAGGAUCUUUAUAUGAGCACAUGGAAUAUGGAGAUCAAAAAGCUUAAAAACGGGUCUUUUACACGUUUUAUCGAUACUAGUCCUUUCCACGCCCAAGGACUGUGUGUGAACGAGGACGGAGAAAUUCUGGCUUGUCUCUACCACAAGGAAGAUCAGUUCGGCAAAAUAGUGCGAUACGACAGUGCGGGAAAGUCGCUUCAACAGAUCUGUAGCGACGAGCGACGUCGGCUGAUGUUUCAGAACCCUGUCAAAGUUGCUGCAAGCGUGACUCGCGAUAUCGUUGUCGUGGACAUGGCUAAAAAGUGUGUGAUCGCAGUCGGGGCGGACGGACAACGAAAGUUUACAUACAAAGGUGUGAAUGCAGUGAAGUUCGAACCCAAAUGCAUCGACUGUAACACUCUGGGAAGCAUCCUCGUCGGAGACCACGAGGAUCGGAUACACAUGCUGGACAAGAACGGGAAGUUCCUGCAAUAUAUUAUGACGCCAGAACACGGACUGAAUGACAUCAUCGGUCUUUCCAGCGACCAGGAGGAGAAGAGGAUCUGGGUAUCGUGCUUUGACAAAGUCAUUAUUGCGACCUUAGUUUGAUACGACAAAGUCAUAACCAAGUCAUAACUUUUAGUAGGAAGAUGAUCGAGAUGACAAAGAGCUUGGUCACUUCAGCCGGGAGCUAAAUCAUCAUUCACUUUACCAGGGAUAGUUUCAGUAUCAAUUAGCAGUCUGAGAUGGCUAUCCGCGGUUUUAUUGCUUGUUAAUUGCUCUCGUCUGUGAGCGAUCGUAAAGUGACGAUUUGGUGUAGUGCAGUUUUAUGUAUUCAUCGAAGACGAUAAGCGAUGUGUUGAUAACAUAUAUGGACGAACGCCAUACCUGUGGUUCUUAUCACCAAUCUCUGUUGUCAUCGUCACAGAGGAUUGUUGUUGUGGUUGUCAUCAAAUCUUUCGUUCUUUACAUUGUAACUUUUAUCAUUGGUGCUGAUAAAAUCGCCUUUGAUUAAACAGAUCAAAAUUACUUUUUUUGUACUUCGACAAUAUUCAUUUCCCUGAAAUGUUUAACAUUACUGCUGCAUACCUGUUGUUGCAUUGUUGAUAAAUCAGUUGAUUUAUUUUG